rnacentral:rRNA from 1 species
UUAAGCGACUAAGCGUACACGGUGGAUGCCCUGGCAGUCAGAGGCGAUGAAGGACGUGCUAAUCUGCGAUAAGCGUCGGUAAGGUGAUAUGAACCGUUAUAACCGGCGAUUUCCGAAUGGGGAAACCCAGUGUGAUUCGUCACACUAUCAUUAACUGAAUCCAUAGGUUAAUGAGGCGAACCGGGGGAACUGAAACAUCUAAGUACCCCGAGGAAAAGAAAUCAACCGAGAUUCCCCCAGUAGCGGCGAGCGAACGGGGAGCAGCCCAGAGCCUGAAUCAGUGUGUGUGUUAGUGGAAGCGUCUGGAAAGGCGCGCGAUACAGGGUGACAGCCCCGUACACAAAAAUGCACAUGCUGUGAGCUCGAUGAGUAGGGCGGGACACGUGGUAUCCUGUCUGAAUAUGGGGGGACCAUCCUCCAAGGCUAAAUACUCCUGACUGACCGAUAGUGAACCAGUACCGUGAGGGAAAGGCGAAAAGAACCCCGGCGAGGGGAGUGAAAAAGAACCUGAAACCGUGUACGUACAAGCAGUGGGAGCACGCUUAGGCGUGUGACUGCGUACCUUUUGUAUAAUGGGUCAGCGACUUAUAUUCUGUAGCAAGGUUAACCGAAUAGGGGAGCCGAAGGGAAACCGAGUCUUAACUGGGCGUUAAGUUGCAGGGUAUAGACCCGAAACCCGGUGAUCUAGCCAUGGGCAGGUUGAAGGUUGGGUAACACUAACUGGAGGACCGAACCGACUAAUGUUGAAAAAUUAGCGGAUGACUUGUGGCUGGGGGUGAAAGGCCAAUCAAACCGGGAGAUAGCUGGUUCUCCCCGAAAGCUAUUUAGGUAGCGCCUCGUGAAUUCAUCUCCGGGGGUAGAGCACUGUUUCGGCAAGGGGGUCAUCCCGACUUACCAACCCGAUGCAAACUGCGAAUACCGGAGAAUGUUAUCACGGGAGACACACGGCGGGUGCUAACGUCCGUCGUGAAGAGGGAAACAACCCAGACCGCCAGCUAAGGUCCCAAAGUCAUGGUUAAGUGGGAAACGAUGUGGGAAGGCCCAGACAGCCAGGAUGUUGGCUUAGAAGCAGCCAUCAUUUAAAGAAAGCGUAAUAGCUCACUGGUCGAGUCGGCCUGCGCGGAAGAUGUAACGGGGCUAAACCAUGCACCGAAGCUGCGGCAGCGACGCUUAUGCGUUGUUGGGUAGGGGAGCGUUCUGUAAGCCUGUGAAGGUGUACUGUGAGGUAUGCUGGAGGUAUCAGAAGUGCGAAUGCUGACAUAAGUAACGAUAAAGCGGGUGAAAAGCCCGCUCGCCGGAAGACCAAGGGUUCCUGUCCAACGUUAAUCGGGGCAGGGUGAGUCGACCCCUAAGGCGAGGCCGAAAGGCGUAGUCGAUGGGAAACAGGUUAAUAUUCCUGUACUUGGUGUUACUGCGAAGGGGGGACGGAGAAGGCUAUGUUGGCCGGGCGACGGUUGUCCCGGUUUAAGCGUGUAGGCUGGUUUUCCAGGCAAAUCCGGAAAAUCAAGGCUGAGGCGUGAUGACGAGGCACUACGGUGCUGAAGCAACAAAUGCCCUGCUUCCAGGAAAAGCCUCUAAGCAUCAGGUAACAUCAAAUCGUACCCCAAACCGACACAGGUGGUCAGGUAGAGAAUACCAAGGCGCUUGAGAGAACUCGGGUGAAGGAACUAGGCAAAAUGGUGCCGUAACUUCGGGAGAAGGCACGCUGAUAUGUAGGUGAAGCGACUUGCUCGUGGAGCUGAAAUCAGUCGAAGAUACCAGCUGGCUGCAACUGUUUAUUAAAAACACAGCACUGUGCAAACACGAAAGUGGACGUAUACGGUGUGACGCCUGCCCGGUGCCGGAAGGUUAAUUGAUGGGGUCAGCGCAAGCGAAGCUCUUGAUCGAAGCCCCGGUAAACGGCGGCCGUAACUAUAACGGUCCUAAGGUAGCGAAAUUCCUUGUCGGGUAAGUUCCGACCUGCACGAAUGGCGUAAUGAUGGCCAGGCUGUCUCCACCCGAGACUCAGUGAAAUUGAACUCGCUGUGAAGAUGCAGUGUACCCGCGGCAAGACGGAAAGACCCCGUGAACCUUUACUAUAGCUUGACACUGAACAUUGAGCCUUGAUGUGUAG